rnacentral:misc_RNA from 1 species
AACCUAGCACACCUGCGGUGUGUACCUGCGGAAGGAUCAUUAACCUUUCAAAUCAGGGUGCGGCGCGGCCCCCGAGGAGCGGAAACAAUCCUUGGGAGGUAUGCGGGGGCUUCGAGCCCCCCAUUUACGCACGCACGACUGCCAUCCUUACUUUACGAGCACCUUCUGUUCUCCCUCGGCGGGGCAACCUGCCGUUGGAACCGAAUAAACUCUCUUUGCAUCUAGCAUUACCUGUUCCGA